rnacentral:rRNA from 1 species
GACGAACGCUGGCGGCGUGCUUAACACAUGCAAGUCGAACGGAAAGGCCCUGCUUUUGUGGGGUGCUCGAGUGGCGAACGGGUGAGUAACACGUGAGUAACCUGCCCUUGACUUUGGGAUAACUUCAGGAAACUGGGGCUAAUACCGGAUAGGAGCUCCUGCUGCAUGGUGGGGGUUGGAAAGUUUCGGCGGUUGGGGAUGGACUCGCGGCUUAUCAGCUUGUUGGUGGGGUAGUGGCUUACCAAGGCUUUGACGGGUAGCCGGCCUGAGAGGGUGAACGGCCACAUUGGGACUGAGAUACGGCCCAGACUCCUACGGGAGGCAGCAGUGGGGAAUAUUGCACAAUGGGCGGAAGCCUGAUGCAGCAACGCCGCGUGCGGGAUGACGGCCUUCGGGUUGUAAACCGCUGUCGCCUGUGACGAAGCGUGAGUGACGGUAAUGGGUAAAGAAGCACCGGCUAACUACGUG